rnacentral:rRNA from 1 species
AGAGUUUGAUUAUGGCUCAGGAUGAACGCUAGCUACAGGCCUAACACAUGCAAGUCGAGGGGCAGCAUGGUUGAAGCUUGCUUCAACCGAUGGCGACCGGCGCACGGGUGAGUAACGCGUAUCCAACCUGCCCUUUACUCGGGGAUAGCCUUUCGAAAGAAAGAUUAAUACCCGAUGGUUUCUUGAAUCCGCAUGGGUUUGAGAAUAAAGAUUUAUCGGUAAAGGAUGGGGAUGCGUUCCAUUAGAUAGUAGGCGGGGUAACGGCCCACCUAGUCUACGAUGGAUAGGGGUUCUGAGAGGAAGGUCCCCCACAUUGGAACUGAGACACGGUCCAA